rnacentral:ncRNA from 1 species
AUGGGGCGGUACAUCUGUCAAACGGUAACGCAGGUCUCCCAAGGUGAGCUCAGCGUGGACAGAAACCACACGCCGAGCAAAAGGGCAAAAGCUCGAUCGAUCUCGAUUUUCAGUAUUUUCCCAGCGUGCCUUAAUGCUUACACGAAGUUGGUCCCGACGCUGGAGUCGACUUUGCUGAAAACUUUGAAUUGAGAAGCAGGGCUGG